rnacentral:lncRNA from 1 species
CUUUUGAGUUGGUUGUCUCUCUCUGAGAGUUUAAGUUGGCCAGGAGAAACUGAGAGACCUUGAUGGUGUUUUAAAAGAAGAAAUUAGACAGGAGGCUCAAGGAAAUCUGAUUUCUACAAAAAGUAUU